UCUGCAGCAGCCGAUCAGCUGGGAAACAUUCAGAGCCAAGCUUUCGUCAUUGUGAUGUCAGCCUUGCCAAUGACAUGUGGACUUCCCUCAACUUAGAGAUAGCUGGAUAUGGAGAAAACAAAAGGAAAUACAGGGACCAAAAACUACACCUAUUUUCUAACGUAAUAUUUAACCAAAACUAGCCCUCAAAGACUUUCUUUUUAUAAAAAUUUCCUAUACCUUGGGAGAAAUCUUCAUGAAUUCCCCUCUGCCUGUAGGAGGAAGGCACAUCAUUAGCACGGUUGUGUCUAAAGAGGACUGAACAGGCUCCAGAGGCUUUGACAUAAUUUUGAGUCAGAAAAGCAGGAAGAAGUCAGCAAGCAUUCAGGAGAGGUGCUGGCAGCAUGGGUCUCAUGAACUGAGCUCCACAACCGUAGCCGAAAUCAUAGGUGGGCUUAGCGAUGUGGUGUUUGGCCACCUGAAACUCUGCUACGCUCACUACAGCUCAAGUUCAAUUUCAUUUUCCUUUUUUCUUCACCAUGACCUUGUGAGUUAGGUGUUAAAGUUUCUACUUUCCAGUGGGAAAAGAUCAAGGCCAUGAAUUGUCAAUGACUUGCCAAAGGGCACACAAAUGGACAGUGCCCUUCGAGCCUCUGUUUAUAGGCAGAUCUUUACAUUUGGCUUUCUUUCUACUGUUCCAUACUCGGUUCGGCCAAGUUUGAACAAGGCUUCAUGCACAAGGAUGUAAGACACCAGAUCAGAGAAAGCCCUGCCAUCACCAUCAGGACGGUAGAGAAGGGCAUGAGACAGGGACAUUGAGACUCUACCAUAAGACAGUGCUCAUUUAAGAAAGAAAGUGCUAGCCAGCCUUCCUCUGAGCUGUAAUCCGCCUGGGUAAGCAGGAAGACAUCAUUUUCCUUAGAAAAGGCAAGAUCACAGUCUUAUGGAUACUUUAUUUUUAGAAUAUAAACAUCGAUGCUUCAUCAGUCCUCAAAGAUUUGCUGUGAGUAUUGAAGAAGACACCAGUUUUUUCAUUUGCUUUUUAAUCACUGAAUGGCUCCAAAAUUAUAUUUCUAUAUAGAGACAACAAGAGUCUUUGGGUGAGGGGCAUCCUAUGCAUAAUGUUUGUGCAUCUUCAGCAUCAAUUUCUCCCCCAACAAAUGUGCAGAAAGAAUCAA